rnacentral:rRNA from 1 species
GAUGAACGCUAGCUACAGGCUUAACACAUGCAAGUCGAGGGGAAACGAUGAGAGAGCUUGCUCUCUUAGGCGUCGACCGGCGCACGGGUGAGUAACGCGUAUCCAACCUACCCAUUACAGGGGGAUAACCUUGCGAAAGUAAGACUAAUACCCCAUGGCAUUUUAUGGUGGCAUCAUUAUAGGAUUAAAGAUUUAUUGGUAAUGGAUGGGGAUGCGUCUGAUUAGCUUGUUGGCGGGGUAACGGCCCACCAAGGCAACGAUCAGUAGGGGUUCUGAGAGGAAGGUCCCCCACAUUGGAACUGAGACACGGUCCACACGCCUACGGGAGGCAGCAGUGAGGAGUAUUGGUCAAUGGGCGAGAGCUUGAACCAGCCAAGUAGCGUGCAGGAUGACGGCCCUAUGGGUUGUAAACUGCUUUUAUAGGGGAAUAAAGUGAGCUACGUGUAGUUUAUUGCAUGUACCCUAUGAAUAAGGACCGGCUAAUUCCGUG